GAUGAACGCUGGCGGCGUGCUUAAUACAUGCAAGUCGAACGGAAAGGCCCUGCUCUUGCUGCGUUCACGAGUGGCGAAGGGGUGAGUAACACGUGUGUAACAUGUCCCUGUCUUUGUGGUAACUCUAGGAAACAGGGGCUAAUACAGCAUAUGAGCUCCUGCAGCACGGGGGGGGUUGGAAAGUUUCGGCUGUUGGGGAUGGACUCGCUGCUUACCAGCUGGUUUGGGGGGUAGUGGCUUACCAAGGGUUUGACGGGUAGCCGGCCUGGGAGGUUGACCGGCCACAUUGCGCCUGCGAUACGCCCCAGAAUGCUACGGUCCGCAGUAGGCGGGAAUAUUGCACAACAGGCGGACGCGUGAUACAGCAGUGCCGCGUGCGGAAUGCCGGCUUUCGGGUGGUGAACCGCUUUCGCCUGAGCCGUAGCGGGAGUGACGGUAAUGGGUAAGAAAGCACCGGCUAACUACGUG
rnacentral:rRNA from 1 species